UUCUGCCGCUUUUGCUGUGGCUUCUCUGCAUGGGAUUCCCCAUUCUGCAUGGCGCCGAUCUCUGCCAGCCCAUCGGAUGGCGGAACUUCCAGUGCAGCGAGGUCGCUUCUCUGCAGGAUCUG
ensembl:ncRNA mir-4986 mir-4986 stem loop